rnacentral:rRNA from 1 species
GAUGAACGCUGGCGGCGUGCCUAAUACAUGCAAGUCGAGCGAACAGACGAGGCGCUUGCUCCUCUGACGUUAGCGGCGGACGGGUGAGUAACACGUGGAUAACCUACCUAUAAGACUGGGAUAACUUCGGGAAACCGGAGCUAAUACCGGAUAAUAUAUUGAACCGCAUGGUUCAAUAGUGAAAGACGGUUUUGCUGUCACUUAUAGAUGGAUCCGCGCCGCAUUAGCUAGUUGGUAAGGUAACGGCUUACCAAGGCGACGAUGCGUAGCCGACCUGAGAGGGUGAUCGGCCACACUGGAACUGAGACACGGUCCAGACUCCUACGGGAGGCAGCAGUAGGGAAUCUUCCGCAAUGGGCGAAAGCCUGACGGAGCAACGCCGCGUGAGUGAUGAAGGUCUUCGGAUCGUAAAACCCUGUUAUUAGGGAAGAACAAAUGUGUAAGUAACUAUGCACGUCUUGACGGUACCUAAUCAGAAAGCCACGGCUAACUACGUG